GACGAACCACACAAACGUUAUUCGGAAUUACUGGGCUUAAAGGGUGCGUAGGCUGCGCAGCAAGUUGGGUGUGAAAUCCCUCGGCUUAACCGAGGAACUGCGCCCAAAACUGCUGUGCUCGAGGGAGAUAGAGGUGAGCGGAACUUAGGGUGGAGCGGUGAAAUGCGUUGAUAUCCUAAGGAACACCGGUGGCGAAAGCGGCUCACUGGAUCUCUUCUGACGCUGAGGCACGAAAGCUAGGGUAGCGAACGGG
rnacentral:rRNA from 1 species